rnacentral:rRNA from 1 species
UUGACGGGACCCCGCACAAGCAGCGGAGCGUGUGGUUAAUUCGAGGCUACACGAAGAACCUUACCAGGGUUUGACAUGCAAGUGGUAGGAAUCCGAAAGGUGACCGACCCUUCGGGGAGCUUGCACAGGUGCUGCAUGGGCUGUCGUCAGCUCGUGUCGUGAGAUGUUCGGUUAAGUCCGCUAACGAGCGCAACCCUCGUCGUGUGUUAUACGUGUCACACGAUACUGCCGGGUAUCAAGCCGGAGGAAGGUGGGGAUGAUGUCAAGUCAGCAUGGCCUUUAUAUCCUGGGCUACACACACGCUACAAUGGCAGAUACAAUAGGUUGCGAAACCGCGAGGUGGAGCCAAUCCUCAAAGUCUGUCUCAGUUCAGAUUGUAGGCUGCAACUCGCCUGCAUGAAGUCGGAAUCGCUAGUAAUCGCGGAUCAGCACGCCGCGGUGAAUACGUUCCCGGGCCUU